CUGAGUUACCGCUCAUCAACCCUUUGUGAACAUACCUUAACUGUUGCUUCGGCGGGUAGGCGUCCCCUAAAAAGGACGUCUCCCGGCCCUCUCCCGUCCGCGGGUGGGGCGCCCGCCGGAGGAUAACCAAACUCUGAUUUAACGACGUUUCUUCUGAGUGACACAAGCAAAUAAUCAAAACUUUUAACAACGGAUCUCUUGGUUCUGGCAUCGAUGAAGAACGCAGCGAAAUGCGAUAAGUAAUGUGAAUUGCAGAAUUCAGUGAAUCAUCGAAUCUUUGAACGCACAUUGCGCCCGCCAGCAUUCUGGCGGGCAUGCCUGUUCGAGCGUCAUUUCAACCCUCAAGCUCUGCUUGGUGUUGGGGCUCUACGGUUGACGUAGGCCCUUAAAGGUAGUGGCGGACCCUCUCGGAGCCUCCUUUGCGUAGUAACAUUUCGUCUCGCAUUGGGAUUCGGAGGGACUCUAGCCGUAAAACCCCCAAUUUUACUAAGGUUGACCUCGGAUCAGGUAGGAAUACCCGCUGAACUUAAGCAUAUCAAUAAGCCCGGAGGA
rnacentral:rRNA from 1 species